rnacentral:rRNA from 1 species
AACGUAGGUGGCAAGCGUUAUCCGGAUUUACUGGGCGUAAAGCGUGUGCAGGCGGGGGUACAAGUGGUGUAUGAAAUUUCCCAGCUUAACUGGGAAGGGUUAUGCCAGACUGUACUUCUGGAGUGCGAGAGAGGGGCGUGGAAUUCCGGGUGUAGUGGUGAAAUGCGUAGAGAUCCGGAGGAACACCGGUGGCGAAGGCGGCUUCCUGGACCGACACUGACGCUGAGGCGCGAAAGCUAGGGGAGCAAACGGG